GCACAGAUUUUGAGCACAGAUCGAGUUGAUGGCAUGAUUGUAAAAACCCAGACCAAGGCAAAGUAUGCAUCAUUCUGACGAAAUAUAUCUUCAAAUAACCUAGAGGAUUUUUUCUGAUCCCUCGAUCCUUCGAUCAGCAUCAGCACAAAUAUUUGAAGUGGGCAUGGCGCGAGAGCUCUCGUAUGGGUGGUCAACAAAAAGUCAACGCUUACAGGUCUACACUCAGCGGCGUCAGAGAUUCGGCUGCACGUAUAAACUCGGCUGUUGCUGAAAAAAAAAGUAAUUUAACAGAUUGGUCGCACAUGAUUUGACCACAGAUAAUCUGGAAUAGAAACUUUUGAUUCCAAGUUCUUGAAAAGGGUGUUAAACAGCUUCCUACACAAACAGUACGCAAAUCGUCGAACACUUUUCAGGAGGUCGUCUAUAGGAAGUAACAUUCUUUCCCCGCCAGCGAAAACUAAUUUUAGACAUCGGGCAUUGUCAGUUUUGUCUGUGUAAAGUACAUCUGUCUUUCUUUACAUUUUGAAAAUUUAUCUGUAUACAUGGGAAUUGCUAAUCUGAGUCCUCAUUGUUCUGCGAUGAUGAUAGAUACAGCCGAUGUCGCUGUUUUCACAAGAAUAUGAUGUUCAUCCGUGUUCAUCCGUAGAAGCCGUGUGGAUACGCUAACAUAGCAAUGAAACAGCUCUCGAAAGCACCACUGGGAAGAGGAAUGCAUUCUAAGCAAGCGGAUCAACAAGAAAGAUCUAUGAGUUUAGAAAUAUCUCUACCUUCUGGUGAAACUGUCAUAGGAAGGGUGAACACAAAUGUGUUCAUGGCAAAUGGGAAUGUUCAGAUUCCUUCAACAGAACAAGAAGUACACUUUGUGUCUCUAGAAUGGCCAAAAGACAUACAGCCAGUGAUAUUCUUUACACACUGGCAUUCCACAAUCUCCACCCCGUUCCAUGAAAGAAUUAUUAAAUUUCACAUCAGCACUGCAGAGAACAUCAGCAGCAAUAAAUGGGAAAUGCUACAAGAGGUGGUAAAAAAAUGCCACUUUUCUUUUGGAGCACAGUUGCUGGAGGUGACAUCUUGCAGGGUCAAGCUCGGUCAUCCUAGUGUGUUGUCACCUUAUAAGAUACAGCCACUGGAGGAACAGAUGAAAGACACAUUAUCAUGCCUUUUUGCAGAUACAGAGUAUGAGUAUUGUGAUUUCAUGGUAAAUUGGGAUGUAACAAUCUCCAUGGGUGAAAAUUUACACUUGUGUGAACUGCUUCAACCACUGAACUCUACACAAUGUAGUCUUUCUGAGGAUGUUCACUCUCCAUCAUCUUCAAGAGAUGGUCAGUCAGAGGGACAACAGUUAUCUCCAGAAGCUGAAGUGGAAAGUGACCAGCAAGGUGGGCAGAUGCAGACAGAUAUUACAGCAGAAGUGCAUGCUUUGAGGCAGAUUGUGUCCAAGCUAGAUCGACAAGUGAAUAGUCAGUUUGACAAAGUUUUCAAACAAUUGAAUGAACUUCGAAAGAUAAUGAUGAGCACAACUUUGCAAAAUCCUUCGUCUUUCCACAAAAUGACCUCAAGACACCCAGUCAGGACCAGCCCAUCUCCUGAAAAAAAGGAUGAUAGAAAUACGUUGCCUUUGUCAGAAACAUCAAUACAGCAAACCAGGGUGACUGACAAAAGUGCAAAGACAAAAGCCAAGCAUAGCAGAGCAGAUCUCAAAGAAAGACCUCAGAGCACCAAGCAUCAGACUGUUCCUGCCAGAGAAAUUUCUAAAGCAAAUGAUAGGGGUGGAAAAAGUGACAGUGAAAAAUCAAUACAUAAGUCUUCCAGAGGAGAUUUAGUGGAGGAUUCUCCUGAUGAUUACCACCAUGUUAAUGAUAAAGAUACCAAUGUUGACAGACAAGAACUAGGGGAAGAAAUAAAACCAAGUAGGCACAAACCUAGAGGGAUCAACAGCAAUAUCUCAACAUACAGCAACUAUGAUAACAGCAACUCCAUUUCACAACAAAUACCACCAACAAUAUCUUUAAAUGAAAGCAAACAGCAGGAGUCUUCCUGUAAUUCAGCAGCACCUCAUUAAAGCAGACAAAAAGUUCAACACUGCAGGAAUCUACACAUCCUUCCAGAGAUAAACAGUUAAAGAGGACAUCAGAUCCUUCAAGUUACAGAGAAACAGGCUUCACAAAAGAAACACCAUCAAAGCCAUCAAAAACCCACCAAAAAAUACAUAAAAUGAAAUCAUCAG
rnacentral:misc_RNA from 1 species